GAGCGGAUGACAGGAGCUUGCUCCUUGAUUCAGCGGCGGACGGGUGAGUAGUACCUAGGAAUCUGCCUGGUAGUGGGGGACAACGUUUCGAAAGGAACGCUAAUACCGCAUACGUCCUACGGGAGAAAGCAGGGGACCUUCGGGCCUUGCGCUAUCAGAUGAGCCUAGGUCGGAUUAGCUAGUUGGUGGGGUAAUGGCUCACCAAGGCGACGAUCCGUAACUGGUCUGAGAGGAUGAUCAGUCACACUGGAACUGAGACACGGUCCAGACUCCUACGGGAGGCAGCAGUGGGGAAUAUUGGACAAUGGGCGAAAGCCUGAUCCAGCCAUGCCGCGUGUGUGAAGAAGGUCUUCGGAUUGUAAAGCACUUUAAGUUGGGAGGAAGGGCAGUAAGUUAAUACCUUGCUGUUUUGACGUUACCGACAGAAUAAGCACCGGCUAACUCUGUG
rnacentral:rRNA from 1 species